CAUCUUUCUGUACGAGUGUAUUGUAUUUGGCUAAGUAGCAUGGAUCUCUCCAAGCCUUGAAUUUUUUACAAAGGCUCAAAUGCACGUUCUUACAUGAUACCUUCGGAGAUAUGAGUAUCAGUAUAGAAGGAUCCCGUUGGAAAGACCCUCAAGAUCAUGCAAGUAGACACAAGGAAAUUUGCACAUGGAACCUAGUCAACCUACAUUAUUGCAACAAGCCCACCUGUCAUAUUUUUAUUGGUUUUAGUAUAGAAAAAGAAAAUCACCAAAAUAUUAAAUAUAACUUUUUUUUUGUCACUUGAAAUUUUAUUAUAAAAGCUUAUUGUGGAACCAGAGGAGGAAUAC